rnacentral:tRNA from 1 species
CGGGGCGUAGUACAACGGUAGUAUGCAAGGCUGGGGGUCUUGAGAUUCCGGUUCGAUCCCGGGCGCCCCGA